rnacentral:rRNA from 1 species
UACGUAGGGUGCGAGCGUUAAUCGGAAUCACUGGGCGUAAAGCGUGCGCAGGCGGUUUUGUAAGCCCGGUGUGAAAUCCCCGGGCUCAACCUGGGAAUGGCAUUUGGGACUGCAAGGCUGGAGUGCGGCAGAGGAGACUGGAAUUCCUGGUGUAGCAGUGAAAUGCGUAGAUAUCAGGAGGAACACCGAUGGCGAAGGCAGGUCUCUGGGCUGACACUGACGCUCAUGCACGAAAGCGUGGGGAGCAAACAGG